rnacentral:rRNA from 1 species
UAAACGCGUAGGUAAUCUACCCCAAAAUUUUGGAAUAACCUGCCGAAAGGCGGGCUAAUACUGGAUAGAGCGACGAAAUCCGUAAUUGGGUUUUUCGGGAAAGGGAGGCAGCAAUGCCCCUCGUUUUGGGAUGAGCCUGCGUCUCAUUAGCUAGUUGGUGGGGUAAAGGCCCACCAAGGCUUUGAUGGGUAGCUGGUCUGAGAGGAUGAUCAGCCACACUGGAACUGAAACACGGUCCAG